rnacentral:rRNA from 1 species
CAGUCGCCGCGGGAAAACGGAGGGAGCUAGCGUUGUUCGGAAUCACUGGGCGUAAAGCGCACGUAGGCGGCUAUUCAAGUCAGGGGUGAAAGCCCGGGGCUCAACCCCGGAACUGCCUUUGAAACUAGAUAGCUUGAAUCUUGGAGAGGCGAGUGGAAUUCCGAGUGUAGAGGUGAAAUUCGUAGAUAUUCGGAAGAACACCAGUGGCGAAGGCGACUCGCUGGACAAGUAUUGACGCUGAGGUGCGUAAGCGUGGGGAGCAAACAGGAUUAGAUACCCCCGUAGUCCCUGUCUCUUAUAC